AACUAUUAUAAUAGUUAAGCCCACUGCUCCUACUAAAAUACUUAUGUCACUGAUCUUCUCUUCUAGGUGUAAAACAACUAAAGUUUGCAGACCAAAACUAGAAAGGUGACUGGGCUAUGAGGGCAGCCAAUAUUUUGGCCCUGGCCCCCUCAAGGCCAACAAAGAUCUAGGACACAAAGGAACUUUUCCUGCAGGACCCUACAUCUUUGCUAUUUGCAAAUACCUGCAUAAUCUAAAGCUGAUGAAAUUCCAGGAGUUUUAAUGAAUUAAAGUUGCAUUUGCCUGAGAAAGCAAGCAGUUACUGACUGGUUUGGAAAUAAUUACAUGCACAGUAGGAUAAGAAGACACUUACACUAAGGUAUUGGUAUUUUAUCACCAGUAUUGUUUCUGCCAAAUUUGUGGUUUGUAUGAGUGCAUUUGGAAUGGAUUUCCCAAAGCAGAAGAUGGGAAAACUUAAUAGGAAAUGCUUAUG
rnacentral:lncRNA from 1 species